GUUGCAUCCCGAUCGCUGAAGUUAUACUGAACCGGCAUGUCGCCAUUCUUCAGAGGUGCUGUUGCAGAAGAUUCAGGGCCAGGCACACUCGCCAUGUUCCGCAACAAGGUCCUCGUGCGCGCCGUCCCCGUCCCCUCCUCUUCCUCCUCCGCACCGUCGCCGCCGUUCCUCCUCCGCCAGGUCUCCUUCUCCGCCGCCGCUCCAUCCCUCGACCUCGACAUCCUCUGCUGCAGGCUGUCCCGCCGCCACCGUCUCGCGUGCCUCCCCCAGCCCCCAGCCGACGCCCUCGUGGUCUACCAGAGAUGCCAGUCUCGCGCGGCCGCCGAGGUGGCCUCCGAGAUCGCGGCUGCCUUCACGGGCGCCUCGGUUGGCGAGGAGGAGGAGGUGGUGUGCUCAGGCGCGCUGGUUGCAAAAGCGGUUGAGUGUGGACUGCGAUGUCUGACGCUUGAGCGUGGAUGGAGCUUUGUCGGGGAGAGCAUAUACGCCCAGUCCACGUUUGCUGCCAGUGAGGAGAGGACUGAUCUCUGCGUGUUGAAUGUGGAAGUCAGAUCUGGACUAAAUGAUGAUUAUGAGUUUGUUGUCUCACCUGAUGCAUUUCGGUUUACUACACUUAAGAUCUCAGAUGUUGCUAGCUCCAAUGUGAUGGAAACGUUCCAACAUAUUAAGGAAGUAAGUUUGGAUGGUUAUAACCUCCAGACAGCUUGUGCAAUUCUUCCAACAUUACAGGAAGGCCAUGUGAUUGGUUUUAGUGAACUACCUCCUUCUGGACAGAUCUUGGACAGCUUUACAAAGCUUUGCUCAGUUAAGCAUGGUUUGGAGAUGAACUACAGUUAUCAUGCAGCAGUCAAACUGACAUGCGGAGCUUCCUGCGAGAAGCAAUGGUUGCCUUCUCCAUUUGUCCUCCAAGGUCCGGGGCUUCAGCCUGCCCCAAAAUCUGUUAGAGCAUCAAAGGCAAUGUCUUCCAUGCGGUCUUUUAUAGAAUUGUUGAAAGCUUGGAAUUUCUUUGGUCAGAGUCAACUAGUAAUCAAGGAACAACUGGUAGUUAACUGCACAGCUACUCUGCCUACUUGGGAUAAAGCCACAAGUAAACUGGCAAUGCACACUGCAAGAGCCGAAAAUUCAGAGGAUCUUCGUUUAGUUCAUCCAGGUUUUAUGGCCAAAGACCAAUCAUUGACUUUAGACUUCCGGACCCCCAAACCAGCUGUCUUUUGCUCUUCGGUUGCCAAAUUGUGCAAUACCAAAGUUGAGAUAGCUCAGUCUUUGGAUGAUGCUGGCACUGGCGAUGACACACAUUCCAUCAAGCAUGGUUGUCAAUCAGAGUCUGUUGUCCUAACCAGUUCAUUCAAAUCACAAAUAACAUUAUUGAAGCCUUCAUUUAGCAGAAGUAAACGAGCAGAUAAAAGCAAAACAAGCUGUUCUUCUGAACAAUCUGAUGCUGAUAGUUCAAACAGAUCGAGUGAAACCAGCCUACCAAAAUCGUCACUUGGAAGUUUUCCUAAAGCAAGCCAUGCUAAUCCUGUCGAUUCAUCAUGUGCAAGUCUUCUCAAGCAAGUCAUUCAGACUUCUGUGAAUCCUAAAAGGAAGCAUGCAGAGAUUCUAGAAAACAGUGGUGAAGGAGGAACUGUAAAAGUGCACCAAAAGGAUUGUUGUGAAAAGAGGAACUUGGAUACGAGGAAGAGUAAAGAUUGUGCACCUAAUGUCCCGCAAGACACAGCAUCAGUGCUACAUAUUCAGAAGGAUGUGUUUAGAACAAAAGUAAAACCGACAAAAUCAAAGUCUAUGGUUGGCAAGAAUGAGAUAACUGCUGCAACAACUUCGAAAAGAAAGCCAGAAGUUGUCAAAGACGAGCUAACCAAAAAGGCAAUAGAUCAUCAAAAGGAUGUUACUAACAAGGUGACAAAGGCAAAGCCAGGAAGUGUUAAGGAUGAGUCAACUUCAAUAACAAAGACAAAAACAAAGCCAGAUGUUGAUAAGGACGAGUUAACUGCAAAGGUGAUAGAUCAUCAUAAGCGAGGUCAGCUGCGUCUGCUUACAGUUGCUGAUCUAAAGUGCUUUCUCAGUGCAAAAAAAGCAAAAGUUGGAGGUUCAAAGGAAGUGCUUAUCCAAAGAGCAACUGAACUCCUUUCUUGACAUUAGUACAGAUUAUGCACGUAAUGUCCCGCGAGACACAACAUCAGUGCUAGAUAUUCAGAUACUCAGAAGGAUGUGCUUAGAACAAAAGUAAAACGGACAAAAUCAAAGUCUAUGGUUGGCAAGAAUGAGAUAACUGCUGCAACAAAAUCGAAAAGAAAAGCCAGAAGUUGUCAAAGACGAGCUAACCAACAAGUUUAGGAUUUUUUUUUCAGGCAAUAGAUCAUCAAAAGGAUGAGUUAACUUCAACAACAAAGACAAAAACAAAGCCAGAUGCUGACAAGGAUGAGUUAACUGCAAAGGUGAUAGAUCAUCAUAAGCGAGGUGAGUUUGCGUCUGCUUACAAUUGCUAAUCUGAAGUGCUUUCUCAAUGCAAAGAAGGAAAAAAUUUGGAGGAUCAAAGGAAGUCCUUAUCCAAAGAGAAACUCUGAACUCCUCUCUUGACAUAGGUAUUUCUAUUAACACCAAGUACUUCCAGCGUAAAAUACUGUGUUUGCAACAUGGUGUUUCUGUAUAAUCAACCUGCUUCCUCUACUCUGUGCUUAUAAUUCGAGUUUGUCUUCAUGAUAUUCAAAAGACUCUUGAGAAAACAUGGUGUUGUUAGAACUUCAGUUUUCUUUUGUCGCCAUCUAGGACAGUGCAACAACUUAUGGGAGCUACAAGCUACACAUAGUCGCCCACACCAACCACUGAAACCGGUUUGGCCCUACAUUCUGGCUGGUGCCACAACAGACCAUGGCUAGUAAAUCACAGAUAAUAUCUGAAUGACAACAAACAAUUGUUGCUCCUCUAGGAGGGGAAAAUGGUGCCUGAUCAAGAUAAUGGUUUUCCGUGGACCAAUUCAAGUAUUUACAUAAUUAAUCUGUAGAAUUAUUGAUAUCAUAGUGAUGCUGCAUAUGCGUUGAUUAAUAUGGAGGGCACCUAUUUCUGAGGUUCGCUAGUUACUGGUGCUCACACGGGAAUUUGAUGGAGAAAUGCAAACAAAGACACUACUGGGCAUGGUGGACCAUGCGUAGAAUGUCCACUCAAAAUUCCAGUGAGGAUCUUGUACUUACUAGUUUCGGUGUGUUUGCUGAGAUUCCAGACAGCCAUCAGAAUGUGUGUCAAGUUUUCCUGGGACUGUGUCCUUCUGUGUCCCUUGCGUUCUGUGUUCAUUUUUUUACGAACUGGUUUGUCUUCAUCUAUAUUCCAUGGUUGGUUGGGAAGUUGUGAGAUUGGCGAGAAAUUGAGAGCUGUCUCCAAAAUGUUAACACUAAAUACAUAAGGAGCCUUUUCACAAAAAGGUAGAGUAUGUAACAAUUCUUGUGAGUACUGACACAAUGCAUCUUCGCGGCAUCACUACUGUCACCCAUGGCGAGGUCGGGGAAGUCUUUCUGUAAGUCAAAGAAGUAGUCAAACUUGUGGACGCAGGCAGACUAAGGUGCGCUUUAUAUAUUGUUCUGAAGCCCAUACGACUCAAAACACAAAAGACAUUUGAUUUGAGGAGCUAGAUACCGAUGCUACUAGCAACUGGCGUUGAUUUUCCAUCAUAAUUACGGUUCUACCAAAAAAACUGUUGUAGAAUCAUGGUAACAGAUUGGAUAUUAUCUUACUCAAUUAGGUUCUCCUGCAUUUUUAAUUGUACAUCAUAAUUCUCUAAAAAAUAGUAGCGCAUUCGCUUCGCAUUUAGUUUUUGAACUGGAGUAAAACUAUAAUUUGAAUUGUUGCCAUGUUGCGCGCAUUUUUAACCAACAACUGUAAAGAGACAUAUCCUAUCUUUAAGAGAAUGAGGUAUGAUUGCACUUAGCCACCGAUCCAAUACAAGUCGUGAUUUUGGCAACCAGGAAACUAUGAAGAGCACUCGCAUGCUACAAGGACCCUCACGUACGUGUCAGGAAGCCCAUCAUCUCUCAUCUCCCCGUAUAGUUUGUAUUAACAGACCAGGCUAACUGAGUAUUAGCAUUCUAUGUUCAUUGCUCCGGCACACAAUCUCAAUUUCGUACACAGAGAGUACUCCCACUGUCCCACACAGAUCUCAAGUCUGCAAUGUCCAGCAGUUCUGAUACGCAGUAUCUCGAGAAAUUAGUGUUGGAUAAGUUCCCCCAACAACCACAUAUGCUAGAGUAGUACUCCCUCCGUUUUUAUUUACUCUGCAUAUUAGAGUUGACUGAAGUCAAACUUCGUAAAGUUUGACCAAGUUUAUAGAAAACAAUAUAGACAUUUAUCAUAAUAAAUCUAUACGAUGUG